rnacentral:rRNA from 1 species
GAUGAACGCUGGCGGCGUGCUUAACACAUGCAAGUCGAACGAUGAAGCCCAGCUUGCUGGGCGGCUUAGUGGCGAACGGGUGAGUAACACGUGAGUAACCUGCCCUUGACUCUGGGAUAAGCCCGGGAAACUGGGUCUAAUACCGGAUAGGAGCGCCUGUCGCAUGACGGGUGCUGGAAAGAUCUUUCGGUCAUGGAUGGACUCGCGGCCUAUCAGCUUGUUGGUGAGGUAACGGCUCACCAAGGCGACGACGGGUAGCCGGCCUGAGAGGGUGACCGGCCACACUGGGACUGAGACACGGCCCAGACCCCUACGGGAGGCAGCAGUGGGGAAUAUUGCACAAUGGGCGAAAGCCUGAUGCAGCGACGCCGCGUGAGGGAUGACGGCCUUCGGGUUGUAAACCUCUUUCAGCAGGGAAGAAGCGAAAGUGACGGUACCUGCAGAAGAAGCACCGGCUAACUACGUG